ACCAUCCCAGUUCGGAUUGCAGGCUGAAACCCGCCUGUAUGAAGUUGGAAUCGCUAGUAAUCGCGGAUCAGCAUGCCGCGGUGAAUACGUUCCCGGGCCUUGUACACACCGCCCGUCACACCAUGAGAGUCGGGAACACCCGAAGUCCGUAGCCUAACCGCAAGGGGGCGCGGCCGAAGGUGGGUUCGAUAAUUGGGGUGAAGUCGUAACAAGGUACC
rnacentral:rRNA from 1 species